GUCCUAGCCGUAAACAAUGGGCACUAGGUGUUGUCGGUAUCGACCCGGCAGUGCCGAAGCUAACGCAUUAAGUGCCCCGCCUGGGGAGUACGACCGCAAGGUUAAACUCAAAGGAAUUGACGGGGCCCGCACAAGCAGCGGAGCGUGCGGUUUAAUUCGAUGGUACGCGAAGAACCUUACCCAGACUUGACAUGCGAGUGGUAGGAAGCCGAAAGGUAACCGACCGCAAGGGAGCUCGUACAGGUGUUGCACGGCUGUCGU
rnacentral:rRNA from 1 species